rnacentral:tRNA from 1 species
GCCACGGUGGGUCUAGUGGUUAGUACGCUGGCCUUGUAAUCCUGGUGUCCCGGGUUCGAUUCCUGGCGGUGCCU